CGCCGUGCUAGUGCGAGGGUCUCCAGGGGAAUUCGGGGCAGAAGUCGGGCCGGAGCAUCCGGGCGGCCGUGGCGCGAUGGCGCAGGAUCGGCGCUUUGAGAACUGAGCGCAUGUGGAGUUCGGAGGAAAAGGGCGCAGUUGUGGAAGCUGAUCGAGGAAGCCUAAGCAGGCUCUGUGAAGUGGGAAUAGUGGUAUUUGAGUCAAGGUUUGCUUAACUGGAAAGCCCGUGAGAAGAAUGGAGCAGUUGAGAAUGUGGAAGCUCCAGAGUUUUCAGCAAUUUCUCUUCUUUUUUCUUGGGAUGAGGAGAGGUGAAUAAAUAGAUUGAAGAUGGAAAAUCCCCAAGACAUUUUCUCAAGUAAUGGUGGCUGUCUAAGUGAUAUAGUUAUAGAAAAAUACCUGGUUGAAUCCAAGGAGUCUGUGUCUCAUGUUCAGCUUGCUUGCAGCAUGCAGGACUGUGCUUUCCCUUUGGAUGGAACUGAACUUUGUAUAUGGAACACUAAGGAUCCUUCUCGUCAGCUUCUAAUCCUACGAGGACACCAUCAGCCAAUUACUGCUAUGGCUUUUGGAAAUAAAGUGAACCCACUUCUAAUCUGCUCAGCAUCACUGGAUUAUGUUAUAAUGUGGAACCUGGAUGAAUGUAGAGAGAAAGUACUUCAAGGGCUGGUCCCUCGAGGGACUGUCAUGGGCUCGCUUUUGGGAAAGGUGCUGUGUUUACAGUUGAGCCUGGAUGAUCGUGUUGUUGCCGUGUGUGCUGGAAACAAAAUAUUCAUGCUGGAUAUUGAGCAGCGAUUUUCUGUGACAUACAUAGAACGUCCUGAUGUUAAUAACCGCCACAAAGUCCCACCACCGACCUUCCUGCACACAUUCUCUCAGACUCAGGCUGUCCGGGCCGAGCUGCAGGGCCACCUGGGCCCGGUGACUGCGGUGGAGUUCUGUCCCUGGCGAGCAGGCACCCUCAUCUCGGCGUCCGAGGACAGAGGCUUUAAGGUCUGGGACCAUUGUACAGGAUCAUUAAUAUACAGUUCAUCUGUGUUAUCAGCAUAUCCUCUUCUCAGUUUAUUCAUUGAUGCAGAAAGCAGGCAGCUGGUCACCGGGUGUGCUGACGGCCAGCUUUGGAUCUUCAGUUUGAUGGAUGGACACCAUUAUCGUCGUGUGGCACGGGUUGACCUAAGGAAGAAGACAGAGACUUUCUCCACAAGAAGGGUUAAGUCUGGGCUGUGCAGCCAGCCAGUUGCAUCGCUCCCAGAAGAAAGCCAGCUUCCCUCUACAAGUGCUCUGGGAAAAGGAGAGCAGGUUGAAGUAACAUUUCCUGUACUGAGACUUGCACCCUGCGAUCUCUCACUCAUCCCAAAUUCUGCAUGUGGAUGUCUUUCUUCUGAGAACACCCGAUGUGUGUGGAUCGGAAGCUCAGUGGGGUUAUUCGUAUUUAACCUGGCAAACCUGGAAGUGGAAGCUGCUUUGUAUUACAAGGAUUUCCAGAGCCUCAGCAUCCUGCUGGCCGGAUCGUGUGCCCUGAGGAACCGCACUGCGGAUCAAAAGGUGCUGUGCUUGCUGGCCUCCCUCUUUGGCGGGAAGAUUGCCGUGUUGGAGAUCAACCCGGCCGCGCUGGUCACGGCUCAGCAGUGCCCCAGCAUGGGGCAGAGCCUCUCGGUGCCAGCCAGCUCCUGUGUCCUACCGACCUCUCCACUGUAUCUGGGAAUUGCCAAGGAGAAGAGUACCAAGGCUGCUAGUGAACAGCGAUGUGCUGCACGGAACGUCAUGAAGGACCAACGCCUGGUUUUCCAUAGUAAAGUUAGGUCGUCUGGUUAUGCGUCAGCACCACAUGUGACUAUGUUUUCACCAAAGACCAACAUCAAGAGUGAGUCGAAAGGAUCUUCAAGGAGCAGGAGCAGCUGCGCACGGGAGGCAUACCCCGUGGAGUGCGCUGUGCCCACCAAGCCCGGCCCCCAGGUCGCUGCCGCCCCCACCUGCACACGUGUAUGCUGCAUCCAGUACUCAGGAGAUGGGCAGUGGCUGGCCUGUGGGUUGGCCAACCAUCUGUCACUCGUUUUUGAUGCCAGCCUGACUGGGACACCUGCUGUGUUUUCAGGGGAAACUGGCCAAUUGAAGAGGAGGGAGGCCUUCCGUACCGUGAGGAGAUCGUGGGGAGAGAGAGGAAGAGGCACCCAUGUGGUCCCCCAUGGGCACGUUGCUUCGUGGGGAUUGGCUCCAGAGGGCCCGGCCUUGCCUGCGGUGAUUCGUCUUCGAUGCACCCUGCGGCCCGCAGCGCUUCACGCAUGUGUCUGGGGCUGGAGCUCGGGAGAGGAGGGGGAUCCCACCUUUGAUAUAAACAGAAGAGCAAGUCCAAGCUGAUUUGCAGGCUCUCCACGACAGGUGCAGUAGACAUGACCAGUUUAUCGGCAGUCAACGACUUUUAUUCCCACAUCGUACUCGCAGCUGGCCGGAACAGGACCGUGGAAGUGUUCGACCUCAACGCCGGCUGCAGUGCAGCGGUGAUAGCGGAAGCCCACUCACGGCCUGUCCAUCAAAUCUGCCAAAAUAAAGGUUCAUCAUUUACAACCCAACAGCCUCAGGCUUAUAACCUUUUCCUGACCACGGCCGUUGGCGAUGGGAUGAGACUGUGGGACCUGAGAACCCUGAGGUGUGAGCGCCACUUUGAAGGGCAUCCAACCCGCGGCUAUCCAUGUGGAAUCGCUUUCAGUCCUUGUGGACGAUUCGCGGCUUGUGGGGCCGAGGACAGACACGCUUACGUAUAUGAAAUGGGCUCAAGCACGUUUUCUCACCGGCUGGCUGGGCACACAGACACCGUCACUGGAGUGGCCUUCAACCCAUCAGCGCCCCAGGUAAGGAAACUGAGGCAUAAAGAAGUUAAAAUGCCUGAACAAAAGCACACAGUGAGUAAGUGGACACGCAAGGCUUCGCACCUCAUUGAUCUGACUUCAGAUUCCAUCUUCUUGGCAUGGUGCCCACCUACGCACCACAGAGCUGUAUAAGGGCAGAAGAGAGGAGUGUGUUCUGCUGCCACCAGCAAGCACUGGGAAGCAUCUUGAAGAAAAGCGGGGUGAGCUGUACGGAGCCUUUCGGGGCAGAUUCAAGAGCAGAAAGCCAUGUCUUUCUUACUAUGGACACUCGGGAACUGGAGAAAGGUUUCCUUCUCAAAUUUAUUGACUAGAACUCAAUUCCAAAUCAAUAUUUCAAAAAAGUUUCUUAUUUCUGUGAGAGGCAAUAUAUAUUAUAUUUCUAUUAAUGUGGCAUUAAUGCUUGUUUUUUUCUUUUUUAGUCCCUGAGUGGUUUCAAAUGUGUGUUUUCAUGUACAAUUUAUAGUUCUGAAGAGUGUGUCAUUUCCAGAUAUUUCCUGACUGUCUCAUCAAUGCCCACAUCAUUAAAGUUAAUUUCAUGCCUAAGGAAUCUACACUACCUUCCAUUUGGAAAAUGUUCUGCAGAUUCUAGCAAAGUCAACAGCCAAACCGUGAAUGUAAAGGCUGCCAUACAGACUACAGAAGUAGGCAGCUUGCCAUCGCCACGCUACCUACUUUACAUUCAAGUGAUUUAUAUAAGAGCCAAAAAAAUGUGCUCCACAUAGUAUUGAUCUUUCACUGCCAUGCAGGGAUGAGCUGUCCAGAUGAUAAAUUAAGACAAUGAGAACAUAAGGAACUGGCUUCAAGAUUUGUGGUUGCCGACGGAAUUUCUUCAGCAGAAAGAGAAGGAAACUGAACUACGGAACUGGUAGGAUAUUAUUAUUUUUACUGUAAACGAUCCAAGCCUGUCAGGCCUGUAACUUCCAAGUGCAAUGUAUUAUGAUCUACAGUGUAAAACAAAAGAUUCUGAAUUUGAGUCAGUAAUAGCUGGUUUAUUCCAGGUUUCAAAUGUAAGUAACUUACUCUCACCAACAGUAGUCAAAAUGAGAAGCCUGCUAUGCUGUGGAUUUAUGGCUCAUGGACUCUGGAUGAGUUCUGCAUUUAUCUUCGUGGAGUGACGAAUAAUUGAAUUGGAAAAUCAUGGCAUCCAGAAUGGAGCUGCAUAAAAAUCUGCUGGAGUGUUUCCGAAAAAAUGAAGACCUCUGGGCCCUUAUCCCAGACUUUCUAUUUCAGUGGUCCAUGGAAGAGCCUGCAAGCUUGGCUUUUCCAUCUCAGGACUUAGCUGCAGGGUCUCAGGGCACACUGCAGAGACUCAUCAUCCUGUUGCCUGGAGGUGUGCACUGGCUAUUUGCAGAUGAGCCGCCAUCCCGAUGACUGCCCAAUCCUCGGCUGCCUGUGCUCCGGGUCUCCAUUCAUUUGACCAGCAAGACCCACAUCCAGCAACAAGGACUCCACCGGGAUGGGAGCCUGGUGCUUUUUCUCGAACUCAGCAAUCCAGCAGUGCACCUGGCUCUGUUUCCAGCCUGGCCAAUGAUAUUCUAAGCAUGAAUUAUUACAUAUUACUAAUUAUUAAAAAUUAAAUGUAAUAUCUUGA